rnacentral:lncRNA from 1 species
UGAACGAGGACCAGAAAUUUAAGUGUUGUUUACUAUGGUUCUUGCACACCAUGUUUCUUGCAAAAUAUUCGAUGAAGAUUGUCAACACGAAACUGAUUCGAAUGGUCAAUUCUUUGAGUUUCUUUGAGAAUAAUCUGUGAGGGAAAGAGACAUUUCAACUAACUCUGGACUAUCUAAAGAAAAAAAGUGAUCUGAAGAAGCAGAGGGAAGUAUUUGAUGAGAAACAGA